rnacentral:antisense_RNA from 1 species
UGAACACUGAAGGGUUGGCAGGGGACCAGAGAAUAGAGGAAGCAUUGUAGGUUCUAGAGUGGAGAAGGGACCAUCCAAAAUGGAGUUUGAAAGAGAAUUCUGGCCUUUGUGUUUAGAGUCUGGAAUUGUUAAGAGUCUGAAGGCACAGAAUAAGACUGCAGCUAGAGCAAUUUAGGCGCCAUAGUUUGUCAAAACAGAGUGGGAGGCAUAACUGCUUUGCCUCCAGUCGUCAUCUGGGGGCAUAUCUACUCUUCGAGGACCAGGGGUUCGGGACCCUGGAACAGGAUCUGAAUUCCAAGCUGACCUCAGGGGUACAUGAAGACUGCUAGAUGAGAUGGGAUCUCACUGUGCUGCCCAGGCUGGUCUCGAACUGCUGGACUCAAGUAAUCCUCCCAUCUUGGCCUCCCAAAGUGCUGGGAUUAUAGUGGACAACCUUGAAUGCACUGGUACUUUGUACCCUGACCUCUACUGUAAUGAAAACUCAACUUGGGCAAGGAAGUGAAAUUCUCCAAAGCAAGGAGGAGGGUGCUCUGAAUAGAUGGACUCUGAUUCUACUUACAAAACUGUGGGAAGAAACUGGAGCUUCCUCCCUCUCUGAGACAACGGUGCCACUGAGACUGCGCCUAGCACCUUAGCACCUGAGGCUGCUACCUGAGAAGUACGCACUGUUCUGGCUUCAUGGAGACCAUGCUCCAUUUCUGCUGUUGGAGUCUUUGAGAGACCAGGAUCAUGGGCUGAGUGCAACCUCCUCCCCAUGCCAUCUGCAGA